rnacentral:rRNA from 1 species
CCUACGGGAGGCAGCAGUGGGGAAUAUUGCACAAUGGGCGGAAGCCUGAUGCAGCAACGCCGCGUGAGGGACGACGGCCUUCGGGUUGUAAACCUCUUUUAGCAGGGAAGAAGCGAAAGUGACGGUACCUGCAGAAAAAGCGCCGGCUAACUACGUGCCAGCAGCCGCGGUAAUACGUAGGGCGCAAGCGUUAUCCGGAAUUAUUGGGCGUAAAGAGCUCGUAGGCGGUUUGUCGCGUCUGCUGUGAAAACCCGAGGCUCAACCUCGGGCCUGCAGUGGGUACGGGCAGACUAGAGUGCGGUAGGGGAAAUUGGAAUUCCUGGUGUAGCSGUGGAAUGCGCAGAUAUCAGGAGGAACACCGAUGGCGAAGGCAGAUCUCUGGGCCGUUACUGACGCUGAGGAGCGAAAGGGUGGGGAGCAAACAGGCUUAGAUACCCUGGUAGUCCACCCCGUAAACGUUGGGAACUAGUUGUGGGGGCCUUUCCACGGUCUCCGUGACGCAGCUAACGCAUUAAGUUCCCCGCCUGGGGAGUACGGCCGCAAGGCUAAAACUCAAAGGAAUUGACGGGGACCCGCACAAGCGGCGGAGCAUGCGGAUUAAUUCGAUGCAACGCGAAGAACCUUACCAAGGCUUGACAUACACCGGAAACGGCCAGAGAUGGUCGCCCCUUUAUGGUCGGUGUACAGGUGGUGCAUGGUUGUCGUCAGCUCGUGUCGUGAGAUGUUGGGUUAAGUCCCGCAACGAGCGCAACCCUCGUUCUAUGUUGCCAGCACGUAAUGGUGGGAACUCAUGGGAUACUGCCGGGGUCAACUCGGAGGAAGGUGGGGAUGACGUCAAAUCAUCAUGCCCCUUAUGUCUUGGGCUUCACGCAUGCUACAAUGGCCGGUACAAAGGGCUGCAAUACCGUGAGGUGGAGCGAAUCCCAAAAAGCCGGUCCCAGUUCGGAUUGAGGUCUGCAACUCGACCUCAUGAAGUCGGAGUCGCUAGUAAUCGCAGAUCAGCAACGCUGCGGUGAAUACGUUCCCGGGUCUUGUACAUC